rnacentral:rRNA from 1 species
CAGCAGUGGGGAAUAUUGGGCAAUGGGCGCAAGCCUGACCCAGCGACGCCUCGUGAGGGAAGAAGGUCUUCGGAUUGUAAACCUCUGUUGACAGGGACGAUAAUGACGGUACCUGUCGAGGAAGCCACGGCUAACUACGUGCCAGCAGCCGCGGUAAUACGUAGGUGGCAAGCGUUAUCCGGAUUUAUUGGGUGUAAAGGGUGUGUAGGCGGAGAGGCAAGUCAGAUGUGAAAAUUAUGGGCUUAACCCAUAAACUGCGUCUGAAACUGUUUCCCUUGAGAGUCGGAGGGGUAAAUAGAAUUCCCGGUGUAGCGGUGAAAUGCGUAGAUAUCGGGAGGAAUACCGGUGGCGAAGGCGAUUUACUGGACGACAACUGACGCUGAGACACGAAAGCGUGGGGAGCAAACAGGAUUAGA